rnacentral:lncRNA from 1 species
CCGCGCCAAGAGCGACAGGUGUUGGCCGCGCCUUUGUCUCGCACCCUUUGUCCGGCGGGCAGGCGGCGGGCGCUUGUCCCGGCCAGACGCCCGCGACUCCCCCAUCGCGGCGGGCCGCCCAUCUGCUGGGUUCCUCUUGGCCGCGGGCGGGGUGCGUGGGCGGUGGGGCCGCGCCCUCGGGCAGCGUCCUGGGGACCCCUGCCCGGCUCCUGCCCCGGCGUCAGUCCAGACGCUGUGUGGAGGAGCCGGAACGGGAGACGCCUUCUCGGACCCCAGCCGGCCGACUACCAGCCUGCCCCGCACAGCACCUGCCUUCCUCAGUCCCCACUACUCACCCGGGCUGGGAUCGUCAGGGUCUGUUCUGAGCCCCUCCAGGCUAUAAGCGUCCCUGGACAAGGGCACAGUCUGACCUAGGACCCCCUGUCCACCUCCCCGCACCCCCAGCAGAGCCUGGCCUCACAGAAGCGCUGACAUCACCCCAGGGAAGGAGAACCUCCACUCCCCC